CGAGAACUAUUGGUGAUAGGUAGAUGGCUGGACUGGAUGAUCUUGUAGGUCUUUUCCAACGUUGGUGAUUCUAUGUGUGCACGGCUCAGCAACAGCUAAAACACUGCCCAGUUAUUAACAGCAGUUAUAGCAGAGAUGCUGAGUCAUGGCCUGAACCAGUGAUUGAGCACCUGGUGGAAAGGCAGGGCCAACCCAGGGAAGCUCAGGUGCAAGCAAUGUUCCUGAGUAACUGGAACGAGUGCAACCAGGAUCCACCCCCUCACAGACUUUAUUUAAGAUUUGGCAGUGGGCAUGAGAGUGUUUUGCUGGAGAUCUUCACCUACGUGAGGCCUUCUAAAGAGCAUUGUUCCCAUGCAUGUCCAGAGCUGCCUUCAUCUGGAUCAUUCAGAGCCUGUUUUCUACUUGAGUUUGGUCCAAGAACUAGACAGCGGAACAUUGAAAUGCAAGUGUGUACAGAUAGCAGUAGAGGGGCAGUCUGACAAAAUGACAUCUGACAUGAAGCAAAGACUGGCCUCAUCGAAGUAGGAUGGAUUUGCACAGACAUCUUCCAAUCCAGAAUCUAUUCCACAGAUGGUCCAGGAUGGCGCAGAAAUUCAAAAACUUACAGUUAUGUUAGAAUUUACUAAAAAAGGGCACACUUAUUGUCUCUGAUGAAGGUUAUUGUUUUUGCCAACAGCAUGCUGUGUUGUAAUUGCAUGUUAUAAAGCUUGUGUGUGGACAAACACUACCAAAAUUUUGUUUUGCAGUACUGUGAUUAAAGUAGCAUGCAGGAAGUGUGAGUAGUAGUGCUCAACAGGUUAUUCACUCAUUUUUAGCCAAAUCAUGCACAAAAUAGGCUGUUGUGGAUCCUACUAUUAGUAGCACUUUUCUUGUCUGAUCUUUGCUGUAUCUGAGAGUACCAUUAUAUUCAAAUCAUACUGCAAGUAGAAUAUAGGCAGCAGAAAGUGGAAGUGUCAUCAGUAGAACAUACAAGCACUUCUAAAGUUUCACAUUUUAGUAAACUGGACAUUUUCAAUAAAAGUGUGAUUUCCAUAUCAACCAUACAUUACAGAAAUACAUCUGUACAUCUAAGCUCUGAAUGAAAGCAAGUUUUGAUCUAAGUAGCAAUUGCAACGCUUUAUUUACAGGCUCUUCAUUGUGCUGAAUCACAAGCUAUUCAGCUUUCUGGGAGGUGUCUAUCCUGAGCAGUAGGUUGUUGAGGAUGAGAUGUUCAAAUGUACUUGAGCAGGCAGAGAAUCUCCAGGGAAACAAAAGAUCCAUGUCACACUUUGACUGAAUGAGAGCAUAUUUAGCUAAGAAGUAUUAGUUAGAGCACUGUAACACUGAUCACUGUUUUUUGUUUUCUACUCAGUCUUCAAUUUCUUUCAUCUAAGUGCAGUGUUUCCUCUUCACACAGAGUUAUGCGUUAGGCAAGCCAAUUUUAAUUGUCAAGCUGCUUCUGUAUUCACAUGGUAGCAAUUGGAACUACUCAGAAAUUACGGAACAAAGAUUUUUAUCUUUAACAAAGAUUUCUGCAUCAGUUCUUUGGUGUGAAAUGCAUCAACAGUAAGCAUUAACCAAUUUCCUGUUUUUUUUUUUUUCUUCCUGUACAAGGUCUGAUGCUUUUUGCAUUGUCACCGAUUUACGGUUAGGUUGUUCCCAUCAGUGGAAUCACAAUGAUAUUCUGUCAUUGAAUCAGUCUCUGGCAAACUUUUUGUCAAUGCAGUAGGGUGCAUGGUAGUUAGAAACACUCAGAAGAUCUACAAGUGCUCUUAUGCAACUGGUAGCCUGCUGUGCUAUGCACAGUUCUUUUGGAAUUAAGGAUUCUCAGUAGUCAGACAUCCUUUCCUAGUUAACUGUAUUCAUGUGGAUCCAAGGUUUAUAUUGCUAUGCUCACAAAGCUAUGAACUGUGAUGUGAAGAAACAUAAAUGCUUUGAUGUAACUAACAUCUGCAUGAAGAUCCAGGGUCUGCUUUUUUCAAAUUUCCCACUCGACCUAGAUUAGUUCUCUUUGUAACUGUUCACUACCUUUGUUUGGGGAUUCUGAGCAACUUUUUCUCACUUCAAGACUCAGGACAUAGGACCUCUGGAGCUUUGCUCUUUACUGGAGCUUAUCUGCCAAAAUAAUUGCCUAGGACUGUGGACAUAUGUUGCUAACUAUUAAUAUCUUGUAUUUUCUAUUUCAGUUUUUUAUUUACUGUAAAAGCCUUAGAGAAAAAAAAAAGAGUUCUAACAUGUACAUGUUUUUAUAUAAUGCAGAGCUUUGGAAUUGAACCGUUUCUGUUCACUGUUAAAGUAUACAUUAAGUGUUAAAUAUGUUUAUACCAAAAUAUAGGUAAAGGAGAGAAGUGAUUGCAUGUGUGCAACUUAUGGUAUUUCCUCAAACAACUACAUUUUGAAUUCAGUUUCUCAAAAGCUCUUUUCGUGCUAAUUUCUAGGC
ensembl:lncRNA